CAACUUUCAACAACGGAUCUCUUGGCUCUUGCAUCGAUGAAGAACGCAGCGAAAUGCGAUAAGUAAUGUGAGUUGCAGAAUCCAGUGAAUCAUCGAAUCUUUGAACGCACCUUGCGCCCUUUGGUAUUCCGAGGGGCAUGCCUGUUUGAGAGUC
rnacentral:rRNA from 1 species